GUGCCAGACUCCUACGGGAGGCAGCAGUGAGGAAUAUUGGUCAAUGGUCGGGAGACUGAACCAGCCAAGCCGCGUGAGGGAGGAAGGUACAGAGUAUCGUAAACCUCUUUUGUCAGGGGACAAAGACUGGGACGCGUCCCCGGACGAGUGUACCUGAAGAAAAAGCAUCGGCUAACUCCGUGCCAGCAGCCGCGGUAAUACGGGGGAUGCGAGCGUUAUCCGGAUUUAUUGGGUUUAAAGGGUGCGUAGGCGGCGCUUCAGGUCAGCGGUGAAAUACCGGGGCUCAACCCCGGGGCUGCCGUUGAAACCGGAGCGCUAGAAUUCCGAUGCCGUCGGAGGAAUGUGUGGUGUAGCGGUGAAAUGCAUAGAUAUCACACAGAACACCGAUUGCGAAGGCAGCUUACUAAACUGCCACUGACAUUGAUGCUCGAAAGUGUGGGUAUCAAACAGGAUUAGAUACCCUCGUACC
rnacentral:rRNA from 1 species